CCCCCUCCAUAAUGUAAGAGUUGAAUGUUGGUUUGUGUUUAUUCGUUAUCCCCCCCUCCAUAUUGUAAGAGUUGAUUGUUGGUUUGUGUUUAUUUGUUAUGCCCCCCUCCAUAUUGUAAGAGUUGAUUGUUGGUUUGUGUUUAUUUGUUAUGCCCCCCCUCAUAAUGUAAGAGUUGAUUGUUGGUUUGUGUUUAUUUGUUAUGCCCCCCCCUCCCUAUUGUAAGAGUUGAUUGUUGGUUUGUGUUUAUUUGUUAUGCCCCCAUCCAUAAUGUAAGAGUUGAUUGUUGGUUUGUGUUUAUUUGUUAUGCCCCUCCAUAAUGUAAGAGUUGGUUUGUGUUUAUUUGGUAUGCCCCCCCCUCCAUAAUGUAAGAGUUGAUUGUUGGUUUGUGUUUAUUUGUUAGGCCCCCCUCCCUAAUGUAAGAGUUGGUUUGUGUUUAUUUGUUAUGCUUCCCCCUCCAUAUUGUAAGAGUUGAUUGUUGGUUUGUGUUUAUUUGUUAUGCCCCCUCCUCCCUAAUGUAAGAGUUGGUUUGUGUUUAUUUGUUAUGCCCCCCUCCCUAAUGUAAGAGUUGGUUUGUGUUUAUUUGUUAUGCCCCUCCCCUCCCUAAUGUAAGAGUUGGUUUGUGUUCAUUUGUUAUGCACCUCCAUAAAGUAAGAGUUGGUUUGUGUUUAUUUGUUACGCCCCCCCCCAUCCAUAUUGUAAUUUGAGUUGAUUGUUGGUUUGUGUUUAUUUGUUAUGCCCCUCCAUAAUGUAAGAGUUGAUUGUUGGUUUAUGUUUAUUGUUGGUUUAUGUUUAUUUGUUAUGCCCCCUCCAUAAUGUAAGAGUUGAUUGUUGGUUUGUGUUUAUUUGUUAUGCCCCCCCAUCCAUAAUAUAAGAGUUGAUGGUUGGUUUGUGUUUAUUUGUUAUGCCCCCCCCCUCCAUAAUGUAAGAGUUGAUUGUUGGUUUGUGUGUAUUUGUUAUGCCCCCCCUCCAUAAUGUAAGAGUUGAUUGUUGGUUUGUGUUUAUUUGUUAUUCCCCCCCUCCAUAAUGUAGGAGUUGAUUGUUGGUUUGUGUUUAUUUGUUAUGCCCCCCUCCCAUAUUGUAAGAGUUGAUUGUUGGUUUGUGUUUAUUUGUUAUGCCCCCCUCCAUAUUGUAAGAGUUGAUUGUUGGUUUGUGUUUAUUUGUUAUGCCCCCCCAUAAUGUAGGGGUGGAUUUUGUAGCUAUUGGAUUAAGACAUUAAGAACUUUUUCUAUUCACUCACCUAAUCUGAAUUUCAGAGUGACCAAGAAAAAGAGAAACUAAAAUAUUUAAACCUCUCAAAAUGACAUACACCCUGUAAAUAUGAACAAAAUACAAAUAUUUGCUUUUUUAUAUUAAUCAAAAGCAAUGUAUAUAUGAUAGUUUUCAUAUACAUUUUUGAAAAUCAAAAAAUAUAUAGAUCUAUUUAUGAAUGUUUGGCAUAUAUGCAUAGUUAAUCACUGAGGAAAAAAUGUGUGAUCAGAUUGUAUUCUUUCUAUGAACUCUGAACUAGGAGAUGAUUUGCACAAAACACGGUGCUAGCAAUACAGCCACCAUUCGUUACAGCGCAUGCAGGCUGUGAAGGGAGGAACACCCUGACUCUCUGUACACUCCCCCCUCUCCUCUGUGUGGUGCGUGUAUGUAUGUGUGUGUGCGCUAGUUCAAACCCUCGAAGUGAGUCCACUUUAGCCUUAAUACCAUCAGAGAUUCCUGGCAGUGGCUGUGUCUCACACACACAAACACACUCACACGUGGUGCACACACACAUUUGCACAAACAGAGACACAGACUGAACUCCAAAUCUGUAAUCAUUAUAGGACCCUUUGAUAUCUAUUCAUUGAUGAGAGAGAGAGAGAGAGAGAGAGAGAGAGAGAGAGAGAGAGAGAGAGAGAGAGAGAGAGAGAGAGAGAGAGAGAGAGAGAGAGAGAGAGAGAAAGAGAGAGAUCAAAACAAUACUGGGGUGCUGAAAGCGAUACAGUUUAAUCUUCUUUACAUUCUGUCUGUUCCUGUAUAGCCCCUGUCUGUGUGUCAGAGACCCUGUCUGCCUUGGGCAUUGUGUGUGGUUUGGGCUGUGGUUCAAUUGGAGACAUAGACACAGACAAUUACAGUGUUACCAUCUGCCCUACAACACCUCCCUAUGACUCUCCUCAUGACGAGGUGCACUGGCACUCUCUGCUCCGUGUUUCAACCUGUUACACACUCUCUGCUCCACGUUUCAUCCUGUUACACACUCUCUGCUCCGUGUUUCAACCUGUUACACACUCUGCUCCGUGUUUCAUCCUGUUACACACUCUCUGCUCUGUGUUUCAACCUGUUACACACUCUCUGCUCCGCGUUUCAUCCUGUUACACACUCUCUGCUCCAUGUUUCAUCCUGAGACACACUCUCUGCUCUGCGUUUCAUCCUGUUACACACUCUUUGCUCCCUUUUCCCUUUUCAGACUUUGAGUUUUUUAGGGUAUGCUAUGAUGAGGUGAUUUUGAAGAGGACUGACAAAAAAAAAGAAACAAAGAGGGAAAAACGUGCCAAAAAAUAACAAAAAACUUUCAAUGGUGUAUUUUUCUUAAUAGGACUACUUUAGUUUGGAAGUUGUUGAGCUGUUACUCAGUAAUAUGGUGCCAUCUCCUGGGAAUCUUGAGAACUACAGACAUUCAUUUAGCUUCUCCACUGUGUGUGCACAACCUUUUUGGAGUGGAACUCCAGGCGUUUUUUUAUGUUUUGUAAAGGAAUAUAUAUAUAUAUAUAUAUAUAUAUAUAUAUAUAUAUAUAUAUAUAUAUAUAUAUAUAUAUAUAUAUAUAUAUAUAUCCUGAAAAAUGACCAGAUUUUAUGAAUUAACAAAUUAUUAUUUGCAUUAUUACCAUUUCUAUAUAUAUUUUGAGACAAGGUAUCAAAGUAUUGCUUGGUUUAAAUGUGAUGAAGGUUGUAUAGCUUGUCUAACUGAUGCUGAGAGAUGCUGACAUGGGUUUAAACACACAGCUCAUAUAUACACACAUGCUGUACACACGCACAUGCAGGCAUGCACAUGCGCUCACACACACACAGUGCAGUUUGGACUCCAGUUGCUUUCCUGGUUAGAAAACACGUCAGUAACAGAGAACCUAGUUGGACCCCUUAGUAGGUUUACCACAGGUAGCCUAUACAGAUGCAAACCCAUGCUGCGGGACACAGAAAGGUGAGGCAGACACUUCAUUCACACCAAUGAGUUUCUCUGUACGGUCGACUUCAUCUUCUUUUCUAAUCAACAAAGCACAAAUCUACACGGUGAGAGGGUAUCUGGUAGACCCACCACUGGAUCUAGUGAUCUUAUCAUCAUUCAAAGGGUUUUUCUUUCAUUGUUGAUUUUCUCCUUGUUUGCACUGUGAAGUUUAACAUGGUGGAUCUAUCACAGGCUAUGUCUGGGCCUUGCCUGGCCCAUCUAAACCUCCCCUCCUCUUGACCCCCCAGGCAUCCCGGCUCUCUAUCUUCCUCAAAGACACUGAACUCCACACAGAACUGUAGCCUGGCUGAAACUAAUGAUGAACACUGGAUUAAUGACAACCUCAGUAGAUUCAUAUUAUUCAGUAGUUUAGCAUUGUUGGAUUAAUCCUGACAGCAUAUGUCUCAAAUGUGGUAGGUGAAAAUGUGAAAGGUCAGAUUGCUAGCUAACUAGAAUAAAAUAGUAGCGUUGACUUUGGUGCUAUAGAUGUACAGAUUUCUGCUAGACAGUGUUACUGUGACUAUUGGUGAGGCCAGGAUUUUAAGAUACAGUUCUGUGUCAUCUCAGAUACAGGAAGAGAAUACUCAAGUGUAAAUGUUUUUUUGCUGUUGAAAUAAAAUACCCUCAUUAGUCUGCAGAGAGGGAGAUAUAGGCUACCUGCCUCUAACUAGCAUCUGAAGGUGAAGAUGGGGAGCAACCAUGUCUACUCCCAAACACACCGUACUGAAAGAGGUCAGGGCAGAAGCGGCAGACAGACUGGAAAAUAAGACAGAAUACAGUGGCCACUGGCCAUUGAGUAGAUUUCUGGAAAAUAACAAUAAUGGAAACAAAAACACACUUUAUGGUCAGUCCCACGAUUUACAAGAUCAGUUGAACCCUUUUCACCCAGAGGCAUGGUUCUCUUAUCAUCCAUAAGGAAACAGAUAGGGAAGGGCGGCAGGGUAGUGAGGCUGAGGCAGGUCCACAGCUGUGAUAGCUCCACCACAGAGAUAUAUGUUUGUUAUAUUAUGUAAUAAAUUUCUAAUUAAAAACAUGAAUCCUGUGUAUCAGCUCCUCAUUGCUGAGAUCUACUUUGGCCAGAGCUUUAGAAGUGCCAACUGCCAUGUCAGUUGUGACCGGAGUCUUUCCCAAGGAAAAC
ensembl:lncRNA